CCUCCACAAAAACCCUAAAUGGAGUUCAAAGAGCUUCCAGGUUAGUGAAUGCAUCCAUAUGACAGGAGCAUGGUGCACCCCAGACUCCAAGGGGACAGAAGCUCCUGUGCUUGGGACUCUUCUCAGCCUAGCCCUAUGUACCUCUUCCUCUGGAUGUUCAUUUCUAUCCUUCAUACGUAAUAGACCCUGAAAACCCCCAAAGCAGGAGUAACAGCUAACACUUAUUGACUGGAAUCUGAGCUCACUAAGAGCCUCCAUCCUGGAGUUGCUGGCUCUGUCACCGCUGAGAUGAGUCUGCAUGUCCUGCAGUUUUGACUUCAAACCAACAUCUGUGGUCAGCUCUCCACUCCCUGCCAAUACAGCCGGCACUGUUCUGACAGCAGUCACUAAGCUUGAGGUUCAGUCGCACUGGGGGUGUGUACCGGGGGCCCUGUUGAAUGGGUUUUCUAGGAGACUCAUGGCCUAUAUUUUAACUCACACUAUCACAAAUGUGCCCUCUGAAUGUGGUGAACAUCUACCAAGCCAGUUUCACAUAAGGUCUUGGGUAAGCUCAUAAACAAUGCAAGAAUC